rnacentral:rRNA from 1 species
GAUGAACGCUGGCGGUGCGCCUAAUACAUGCAAGUCGAGCGAGAAGCUGAAUUUAUUCAGUGGAAAGCGGCGGACGAGCGAGUAACACGUAAGCAUCUGCCCCGUACUCAGGGAUAACUGGUCGAAAGAUCAGCUAAUACCGGAUGGUCCCGCAAGGGUAAAGAUUUAUCGGUACGGGAGGAGCUUGCGGCUUAUCAGUUUGUUGGUGGGGUAAAGGCCUACCAAGACUAUGACGAGUAGCUGGUGUGAGAGCAUGACCAGCCGCGAUGGGACUGAGACACGGCCCAU